GUAUUUAUCAAUGAAGCUGCAGUGAAGAGAUCCUCACUGAAGAUUCACCCUAGUUUGGAGAAGUUUAAGUAUCAUCUAUGAUACCUCUGGUUCCACAUACACAGCCCUGGAGAUUGAAUCAUCUAUUCAUUCACAGAAAAAGGAGAAAGCAUUGGAGAAUUCUCCACAUUGUACCAUCAAUAUGCCUCAUCUCAGUCUACAAAGGACCAUUUUUAAAGUUAAGUGAAGACUGCAGUUUCCAAGCCUGAUUUCAAUCCUUGGCUUCUCUGCAAAGACUAUUACAGUAAGAGGGCUCUACUGUUUGUGAUGGUGUCUUGAGAUAAGGAAAUCUGUUAAUUGAAACUGGACAGAGCACAAAAUCCUUUUGCAUAGCCAUGUAAGAGCCAUCCAGUAACAACUGCCAACCACUACCAAUUCAAGGUGUAUUUGAACCAGUGACAUAGGUGAAAGGUUUUUUGUUUAAAUCUUAGUUCCAUGUUGCUGAAAGACCGGUGUGGGUUCAAAGCAAUGCUAAAGAAUAUUGAUCAAGCCAAGUUUAAAGACUGAUCUCAAGUCAACAGAAAUCUCUCCAUUGAUUUCAACAGGCUCUGGAUCAUGUCCACAGGGCGCGCACAUGAGACUGCAACCAGGCAGGCGGGCAGCCGGGAAGGAGAACGCGGCUGCCGGGGCCGGGCUGGCCAAGGAAGG